GUACUAUUGCGGCCGCCCUCUGCUGUGCCUGAAGACGGAAGCGACUCUACACGCCUCACAGUAUGCACUGUCACUAAAAAGACGAUGCGUCCUCCUGGAGCUGAGAUCUUUGUGAUCGUGGGACAGCGACGAAAAACGAACAAAAGAACAGUAAAUGGAAUAACUUGGCUAGAAUAUGGCAGUAACUACAAGGCAUGUUCUGCUCUGGCACGAAGACAACCAACCUGAGGCACCAGACACAUGAGUGAAGCCAUCUUGCACUUCCCAGUCACAGCCAAACUCACUCCUGAGUGCAUCUGCAUGAUGAACCCAGAAAUCCCCACCACGGAGCAAAGGAUCCAUCCAGUCAACCCAAAGAAUCAUGAAAAAUAAUAAAUUGUUGUUUUAAAGUUCUUCAGUUUUGGAAUAGCUUGUUAUGCAACAAUACAUAAUUAAUACACCGGUCUCCCACUUUCAAGUUUGAUU
rnacentral:antisense_RNA from 1 species